GCCUAAUUAUACGGCUCAUCGCUGCAGUAGUAAAGCCUCAAGUGUGGCUCGUAAGUAAGAACGAGGCUUGUGUAGAAAAACCGUCGACAUUAUUUCAUUAAGAUAUUUCUCCGGAAAAAAGUAAUCGAUGCUGAAUUUGAGACGAAGCUCGAAUCCUAUUAGUGACAUUUACCUCGAUAAAUCAAACGUCGGUCUUUUCAGAUAUAUUUUUUUUACCGUCCGGCGUAUCCGUCAAAGUGAAAGCUACCGUGAUUUAUUUAUUACUUUUAUCACGAGUGCCUGGUCCCAGGCAGAAAAUUAUAGAAUUCCAAUCCAGUGUCUGUCCAGCUAAGAUUAUUAAGGAGCCCAAUAAUCGUGUUUGCUCAUCAGCAGAGUGGAUGUUGAACUACAUUCGAGACUGGGUCGUUUCUUUGUACUGAAAAUUCACGAUGCAACCCUAAUUUUCUUCGUAAGUAUAGAAAACUCCGAGCAAAUGGGUAGGCUCACCACGCCAGUGGCUUUUUUCGGUUUGGGAAGUGUUGAUUGGAAAGAGACUUUUUACUGGUCGAGGUACGAAGUUGAUCUUAAUAUAAAUAUUGAGGACUGUUUUUCAUGGAACAACUUUUCGUCUUUUCUUGUUUCGAUCGACGUGAUUCUUGCUUGAAACAAUCAACAUAUAUUUCCUACUCCGUGUAGAAGCUGAAAAUUUUGAAAUCUUUUAAUCGAAGUUUCAGUACGAAAAAUGUGUGAUCCAAGUUUUUUCCGGAUUUCGAAUUUCUUCGAAUGUCUUUUGUUCAUCGUUAGAAAGUUAAUUUGCGUGUUUCAUGGGCGAGAAUCUGGAAACAUAUUUUACACGUCGAGGUUGCGAGAAAAUUCAAUUUUCCGACAAUCGGACGAACCCGAAGAGAAAAAAAUCGAAGUUUUCCGUCAAGUGGACGAAUUUCCAUGUUUUUUGAAUUCUUCGAUGAAAAAAAUGGAUUUCCGUUAUGGCCUUAUAUACAGUUGUGUCUAAUACUCGAAUCUAAUACUUGAAUCUUUAAACGCGAUUAU